UACGUAGGGUGCAAGCGUUAAUCGGAAUUACUGGGCGUAAAGCGUGCGCAGGCGGUUAUGUAAGACAGAUGUGAAAUGCCCGGGCUUAACCUGGGAACUGCAUUUGUGACUGCAUGGCUAGAGUUUGGCAGAGGGGGGUAGAAUUCCACGUGUAGCAGUGAAAUGCGUAGAUAUCGGGAGGAACACCAGUGGCGAAGGCGACUACCUGGCCUGUUCUUGACGCUGAGGCGCGAAAGCUAGGGGAGCAAACGGG
rnacentral:rRNA from 1 species